UACGUAGGGUGCAAGCGUUAAUCGGAAUUACUGGGCGUAAAGCGUGCGCAGGCGGUUAUGUAAGACAGGUGUGAAAUCCCCGGGCUUAACCUGGGGACUGCAUUUGUGACUGCAUAGCUAGAGUACGGUAGAGGGGGAUGGAAUUCCGCGUGUAGCAGUGAAAUGCGUAGAUAUGCGGAGGAACACCGAUGGCGAAGGCAAUCCCCUGGACCUGUACUGACGCUCAUGCACGAAAGCGUGGGGAGCAAACAGG
rnacentral:rRNA from 1 species